rnacentral:rRNA from 1 species
AUACGUAGGUGGCAAGCGUUGUCCGGAAUUAUUGGGCGUAAAGCGCGCGCAGGCGGUCUCUUAAGUCUGAUGUGAAAGCCCCCGGCUCAACCGGGGAGGGUCAUUGGAAACUGGGAGACUUGAGUGCAGAAGAGAAGAGCGGAAUUCCACGUGUAGCGGUGAAAUGCGUAGAGAUGUGGAGGAACACCAGUGGCGAAGGCGGCUCUUUGGUCUGUAACUGACGCUGAGGCGCGAAAGCGUGGGGAGCAAACAGGAUUAGAUACCCUGGUAGUCCACGCCGUAAACGAUGAGUGCUAAGUGUUAGAGGGUUUCCGCCCUUUAGUGCUGCAGCAAACGCAUUAAGCACUCCGCCUGGGGAGUACGGCCGCAAGGCUGAA